UAGAGUUUGAUCCUGGCUCSGGAUGAACGCUAGCGGCAGGCCUAAUACAUGCAAGUCGAGGGGCAGCACAGGUAGCAAUACUGGGUGGCGACCGGCAAACGGGUGCGGAACACGUACGCAACCUUCCUUUAAGCGGGGAAUAGCCCAGAGAAAUUUGGAUUAAUACCCCAUAAGAAUGUGACCUGGCAUCAGGAAGCAUUUAAAGAUUUAUCACUUAAAGAUGGGCGUGCGUCUGAUUAGGUAGUUGGUGAGGUGACGGCUCACCAAGCCGACGAUCAGUAACUGGCGUGAGAGCGCGACCAGUCACACGGGCACUGAGACACGGGCCCGACUCCUACGGGAGGCAGCAGUAAGGAAUAUUGGUCAAUGGACGCAAGUCUGAACCAGCCAUGCCGCGUGGAGGAUGAAGGCCCUCUGGGUUGUAAACUUCUUUUAUCUGGGACGAAACACUUCCUUUCUAGGGAGCUUGACGGUACCAGGUGAAUAAGCACCGGCUAACUCCGUGCCAGCAGCCGCGGUAAUACGGAGGGUGCAAGCGUUAUCCGGAUUCACUGGGUUUAAAGGGUGCGUAGGCGGACAUGUAAGUCCGUGGUGAAAUCUCCGAGCUUAACUCGGAAACUGCCAUGGAUACUAUAUGUCUUGAAUGUUGUGGAGGUUAGCGGAAUAUGUCAUGUAGCGGUGAAAUGCAUAGAUAUGACAUAGAACACCAAUUGCGAAGGCAGCUGGCUACACAAAUAUUGACGCUGAGGCACGAAAGCGUGGGGAUCAAACAGGAUUAGAUACCCUGGUAGUCCACGCCCUAAACGAUGAUUACUCGACAUACGUGAUACACAAUGUGUGUCUGAGCGAAAGCAUUAAGUAAUCCACCUGGGAAGUACGACCGCAAGGUUGAAACUCAAAUGAAUUGACGGGG
rnacentral:rRNA from 1 species